UGUGACUCCGGCUGGAUUCACCACCUGCAAGGACGAUUGGAUCCGGCUGGAUUCGCUCAGGGCAGACGACAACGCCAAGGACGACUGGAUCCACGACCUCCCGCCCCUCUACAUGGCCAACAGUAGCACCGAACAGAGUACUCCAUUGCUGGUAGGCUUACUCCAUAGCUGGUAUUUACUCCAUUGUUGGUAGGCUUACUUCCAUUUUACAGUAGGCUUACUCCAUUGUUGGUACUAAAUUUUACAUUAGGCUUACUCCAUUGCUGAACAAAGCAAUAGUACUAACAGACAACAAAGCUUACAGAAAUGCCCCCUCCCCGUUCUUGCUUGUUUAACAUUGCUGUUACAGCAACUUCCCAAAGCGCCGCUUGCUUCACCGGUUAAUUUAUUUUCUGCAAAGCUGACCAAGAAGAAAACAUUAAGUACUCACUGAGUAGGAUUCAGUUAAACUUCACUAAAGUUAACUGAAUUUGUAAGUAUAAAUUCAGUUAAGUUAAGUGUAAACUUAACUAAAUUUAUAAGUAUAAAUUCAGUUUAGUUCAGCAAACUUUUAGGUUUUACUCCUGUUUAAUUCAGUUUAGUUCAUGGAGUAAUUUCUUACAGUAAGUUCAGUGACUAUGUGUUGUUUACUGAAUUUUACAGUAGGUUUAUCUGUAUCUUUCAAAGUUGACUCAUGAGUAGUGUCCGGGAGCUAGCUGGUCAUGAUGCCAGUACAUAUCUGAUGUAAUGGAUGUACUCCUGUUUAUUGUAGGUGUACUCCUGUUUAUUGUACUUCAUCUACUCCUUUAGAUAAGCUUGUGGAAAAAUUUCCCAAGCACUUAGAGGAGUACUUGGAAGAUGAUGCAGAAAUGCAGAGUACUUCUGGUGGUAGUACUCUGAAAAUUUAGAGUAGAUGAUGUAGUGCGAGAGCUCUCCUCUCCUCUCUUUGAAUUCGGAAACAAAAUUCACAAACAACUCUGAGAAAUCAAAAAAUUUAGAAAAAACUUUAAGAAAUAAAAAAGUUCACAAACAACUUUUGAGAAAUCCACAAUGGAGUAUCCACAUCAUCAACAAAUAUAUGGAGUAACAAUAUAUGGAGUAUGGAUUACACUUCACAAGGACUACAAACAUAUGGAUCACAAUCCUCUCCACACAAGCAACUAGCCUCUCCAUACAAAGCCUUUGAUCAUAAGCAACUAGUCUCUCCACACAAAGCCUCUGAUCACAAGCAACUAGCCUCUCCACACAAAGCCUCUGAUCACAACCAACUAGCCUCUCCACACAAAGCCUCUGAUCACAAGCAACCAGCCUCUCCACACAAAGCCUCUGAUCACAGGCAACUAGCCUCUCUUCAGUGUUCAUCUUGUUCCAGAUUCUCUAAGGCAUUGUAAUACACUUCACGAGGGAAAUGGAUGCUAAGAGGUAGAGUUCCUUGCCUUUCAAAUCUUGCUUUGUUCGCAUGCGGAAUUUUGUAAGCAUUUCCUCAUGCAUGAUUCAUUAUUUGCACCAUACAUGUUUGAAGUGUGAGGAAGAUUCUAUUGAGCUUUCCAACUUCAUAGUCAUCAAAUUCUUCCUGGACCCCUUGAAUUAGCUCCGGAAUGGUGGUAGGGGCUCUGCAGUCCGUUAGAGACUCGAGGGAUCUGAAGUAACCAAGGUCAAGAGCGUUCAAGUCGGGAGAAUUUGGGGGCUGUUGCAUCAGUUUGAUGUCCAUACCGGUCUCAACCACUGCUUGUGCGAACUCAGCAUCAUUAGGCAGAAUGUGUGUCCUUGCGUUGUCCUGUUGGAUGAAGACUGUUUGUCCAACAUCUUCUACAGGCCACACAUUUUUUAUCGCCAGAACAACUUUCUCAAUCAUGUAUUGUCUCAUGACUACUCUGUUGACUAUGAGCGACUUGAUCUCUAGGACUCCUCGUUCUCUAUUUCCACUCCUUCUUUGAGCUGCAACUUCCAUGACGAAAGGCCAAACCCCAAUCUUUCCUGAGAAAGUGACAUUCCCGUCAGCGUCGUAUCUGGGCCUGGCAACUACUGUGAGAAACAUCACUUUUCCGAUCUUGUUUGGAACUGGUCUUACCGGGUCUUCUUCAUCCGGCAAUAGGUAGUAGUUUCUAUCCCUUUUAGUCAUAAGGAACCACUUUUCAUCAAUAUGCACAAUAUUGUGCAUACUAUUGAAGCUAAUUCUUUCAUUCCCUAGGGUUCUUUGGUCAAGCAUAGACAUGCAGAAUUGAACCCUUUCUCCCUUAUUCUUCUCUUUCGAAGGGGGCUUCACCCUGUUGGAGUGCCUCCUUAUCUUUUUAAGCUGGAACGUCCUGUGUAGCGUGGUCCGACUGACACCCAGUGCAACAGCAAGUGAUCUUAUGCUUGACCUUCUGUUUAGUGGAACUGUGGGGAUUUGUGAUAGAAAGCCAUCAGCCGCUUUUCUGCCAACUUUUCCUUUUUUCUGGCUUGACACCUUCACCUCCUGACCAAGAGCAAUCUAUUUCUUUGUUGUCCUCCAAAUUUUCCGAAUAAGUUGGAUGUGUACAUCAAACAAUGCAGCCACAUCCUUCUUAUCCUUCCCUUUCAAGUCCCCACCCCUUUUCAUACUUAGGGCUUGCAUAGCCAUGUAAGUAGCAUAUCUCUUCUCAUCUGUUAGUGAUUUUCUUUGCCUCUUUAUUUGCUCAACACCUACUGUAUCAAUGCAACAAGAAAAUGCACCUAUGUGAAUAUAAAUUCAGCAAAAAUGCACGUAACUGCUUAUAAAAGUACCUAGGUGCAUAAAAACUCAUGCACCUAGGUGCGUUUAAAUUCAGCAAAAUGCUUUUACAAGCAUUUGGCUGAAUUUAAAUGCACCUAGGUGCACAAAAACUAAGCUAAGUGCUUGCAAAAGCAUUUAACUGAAUUUUUAUGUUAGCUGAAUUCAAAUUCAGUUAACAUGAAGUAUACCUCCUGCUUCUACUUGUGCUAGUUCUUCAUCUUGCAUAUUCACAUUUUCAUCUUGCAUAUUAGCAUCUUCUUCUUCUUGUCCGGGUGGAGUGCAGUUUAGAUCUGGGAGAACCAUCUUCGGAGAUGUGCUGUAAUCUUUACUCCUAGUACAACAUGAACAGGUGGAGUAGUUGUUAUUGUUAAUAUGCAAAAGCAUAGUAUAUCCUUUGUUCAUGAAAUGAAUAUGCAAAAUUUCCAAUCAUUGUGUCAUGAAAUGAAUAUGCAAGAGUACUAGAUUAUCAAACAUUGUUUUGACAUAAACUGAUCCUACUGUGCAUAAUGGAGUACUCCAGAUCAUGAGCUUUGUUAGCAUAAAUUUAAAUAUUCACAGUAGAUCAUGAGCACUUCAUUACUCUUGGAGCAGUUUUGUUGAUGUCAAAUUCGUGCAAACAAUUCAAGCAGUAUUUCUGUCAAUGUAGCUACUCAUGGAGUAAAUUGUAAUAUUGGUGAUAAUUGCUGUCAAUUAAAUUUCCUGGAGUACACCUUGUCUUUGUAAUCUUCCUACAGCAACAUGAACCAAGCCUCUCUCAUAGGAACAGGAACCUGCUGAUUUCUCUACUGUCAAUUAUUCUUGCUGUCAAUUCUCUCUGUCUUUGUAAUCUUCUUGCUGUCAAUUUUCUCUCUUCUCUGUUGAUGUUGCUACUGGAGCCGGAGCUACUCUCCUUCCCUGUAAUCUUCUUGUUGUCAAUUUAAUCUACUCUCCUUCCAUGUAAGCUUCUUGCUGUCAAUUUAAUCUUCUCUGCUUCACUGUAAUCUUCUGGUGACCUUCCCUGUAAUCUUCUCUACUGAUUUCUCUUGAAUUUGCUGCAGCCCGGAACGCAGCGAGCAACAAGAUGCGCUAGGUGUGGAGGAGCUGGGGGCCUGGGCGAGGAGGUGCCCAGGGGCGGGAGCGGCGAGGUGCCCAGGGGCGGGAGCGGCGAGAUGCCCGGGGCUGGAGCGGGAGGUGCCCAGGCGCUGGAGCUUUUCCUCGCCUAGGAGUAGGAGGAUUUUGAAUUUGAAAUCCUCCGCAGCUUAGUGGGAUCGCAGGGAAGGUGAUCACAGGGACGACGAUAGCAGGGGUAGAAAUGACUUUUUGUCACAUAUCGAUGCUGUCGGAAUUCUGGAAAACGCUCUUAUAAUUCGGGAUGGAGGGAGUACUUCUAAUUUUAUUCCUACAAAGCAGUUUUAUUACUUGUUUCUAGGUAGAGCAAGAGUUGGGGUGCGUAGAGUUGUAAGAGAAUAUAAAUCUUACCUUUAGCUCCUCGUUGGGUUCGAAACUCUUAUUUAUCGAAAAAGACUCUACGCCGUUGCGGGGGAACAAUAGCGUGGGAUGAAUAUUCUCGUGUGCGCUUGUUGGCUUUAUCUCUAAAUAUAUUUUGUUUUCUGUUCUAUGUUGUUUUAUAUCUUUAUCAUGAAUAUGAAACACGAAAUACCAACAAAAAUUAGUUGUACU
rnacentral:lncRNA from 1 species